CAAACUCUCAUCUCUCUCUCUACUUAACCAGCCAAAACAACUCUCUCUCAUCCUUAUUCUCUCUCUAGUUUCCCCAAAACUACCCAUCUCUGUUUCCCUCUCCCCCUUUUUAACCGCCCUCUCUCUCUCUGUCUCUCUGUCUAAUGCCCUCUCUCUCCCAUUCUCUCUCUCUGUCUAACCGCCCUCUCUCUCUACCUUCCCCAAACUUCUUCCCCAAACUUCUCUCUCAUCCCGAACUCAUGAUCUCGAUGCCCUAGAACUGGGCGGUUUUAAAGAUUGAAUCUGUUUCAGAGCUCAGUGAACCUAGGUUUCGGCGAAUUUGAAGACUGAAACUACGGUUUGACGAGGAUUAAAGGUUUUUGGAGAUAAAGUUCAUAACACAACGUGCUUUGUGAUUUUGGCAAGAGCUUUGUGGUUUUGGAGAUUGAAACUGCGGUUUUGGCAAGGCAAUAACGCCAGGUUGAAAUUGCACCAUUUUGUAUGAUUGUUGGAGUUUUUUUGGGCUUUGUUCUAUGAAUUUUCAUAUGCUCAAUGAUUUUUUCUAAGAUUCUACAUAUUUUUUUUCUUAAUUUUAUAAUGGGAUUUGUAGUUAUUGAGUUUAUUCGAAUGCCUAUUUUGUGAAAUGUGAAAUGCAAGCAGAUUGUCUGAAA